GACAAACGCUGGCGGCGUGCUUAACACAUGCAAGUCGAACGGAAAGGCCCUGCUUUUGUGGGGUGCUCGAGUGGCGAACGGGUGAGUAACACGUGAGUAACCUGCCCUUGACUUUGGGAUAACUUCAGGAAACUGGGGCUAAUACCGGAUAGGAGCUCCUGCUGCAUGGUGGGGGUUGGAAAGUUUCGGCGGUUGGGGAUGGACUCGCGGCUUAUCAGCUUGUUGGUGGGGUAGUGGCUUACCAAGGCUUUGACGGGUAGCCGGCCUGAGAGGGUGACCGGCCACAUUGGGACUGAGAUACGGCCCAGACUCCUACGGGAGGCAGGAGUGGGGAAUAUUGCACAAUGGGCGGAAGCCUGAUGCAGCAACGCCGCGUGCGGGAUGACGGCCUUCGGGUUGUAAACCGCUUUCGCCUGUGACGAAGCGUGAGUGACGGUAAUGGGUAAAGAAGCACCGGCUAACUACGU
rnacentral:rRNA from 1 species